rnacentral:rRNA from 1 species
UACGUAGGGUGCAGGCGUUAAUCGGAAUUACUGGGCGUAAAGCGUGCGCAGGCGGUUUGCUAAGACAGGUGUGAAAUCCCCGGGCUUAACCUGGGAACUGCGCUUGUAACUGGCAAGCUAGAGUGUGGCAGAGGGGGGUGGAAUUCCACGUGUAGCAGUGAAAUGCGUAGAGAUGUGGAGGAACACCGAUGGCGAAGGCAGCCCCCUGGGCUAACACUGACGCUCAUGCACGAAAGCGUGGGGAGCAAACAGGAUUAGAAACCCGUGG